GCCCAGGUGUGCAAACUGCAACAACGCCAGAGAACAGUUUGUCGACAUUUUUAUCAAAACACUUAAAAAUAGAAGAAAGGAGAGCGAUAGAAAAGGAGGACAACAUAUUCCGAAUUAUCGUAACUUUUGAGGUGAGUAAAAAAGAAGCGAACAGAAACACGAAGACGCUUAGUGGAUGAUGCUAACGCUAACAGGCUAACCGCGCUCGUGUUUGAGCCUAAUAUGCUAGCGAACCACUAACUGUUUCAAUACUUAAGUGGGUUAAACACUUUUAUUUGAGGGGGAAAAAAUCUAAACGCUAAAAGUCUUGGGCACUUUACAUUGGAAGCUCCUACUUGCCAAAAUUCUCAGUAAUAAAUAUAAUGAAUAUAAACUAACAUAGUUACGAGAACAGCUGCUGAAAACCUGUAAAUUAAAGAAAUAUUUUAAUUUAGAUGUCUAUAAUCUAAUGUGGAUAUUAAUUUCGGUCAAAGUCCAGAGACUAAACUAUAAGUAGAUUAUGGUAAAAAAAUCUCUUGUUCCCUGUAUUUGUCAUGUUUUGCAUAUUAUAUUGUAAGUGUAAUGUAUUUAAAAACUCUUGUACUAAAUCAUGAAAGAGUCACAUUUGACACUGAAUUUAAAAGUCCCACAUUUUAUUGAUGUAAUAGACACAAGAAUAAUAACAGCAAACACAGCAGGAGGUUUAAUCAGUCACAGAUAUUCAUGGACUUAAAUCAGCUUCUCUGACAGUCAUGCAAACAGUGCAGACAGAUAUUGAGCACAAAUUCAGGAAAACUUUUCAUUUAUUUUUACUGUUUCAGAAGACAUCACAGUAAAAAACAACUUCUUGAUCAGUGAAGUAGCCUGAGAGCGUCUCUCAGCCCUCACCAAAGUCCAGUUUGACAUCCUCAGCACAGAUUUUUGUCUUUUGUUGGGGUAAAUGUGAUGAAAUAAUUGUCUCCCUUCUUUUCUUUCAGGACUCACUGUCGGUGGAUCCUGGAGCUGGGAGGCCUUCUCCUUCUCCCUCCACUCGCCCUUCUCCUGUGUCUCCCUAAUGAUGUUUUAGUUUUGUUCCUAGUUCAAGUGGUAGUUAAGUUUAGAGUCAGAAUUUAUUAUUUCACCUUUUCACAGAGUGUUAGAGACUUAAGUCACGAUUAAAAUGAAGAUUUGAG